rnacentral:rRNA from 1 species
ACGAGGGGGGCGAGCGUUGUUCGGAAUUAUUGGGCGUAAAGGGUGCGUAGGCGGUUUUGUAAGUCUUAUGUGAAAUCUAUGGGCUCAACUCAUAGACUGCAUGAGAAACUGCAGGGCUCGAGUAUGGGAGAGGUGAGUGGAAUUCCUGGUGUAGCGGUGAAAUGCGUAGAUAUCAGGAGGAACACCUGUGGCGAAAGCGGCUCACUGGACCAUAACUGACGCUGAUGCACGAAAGCUAGGGGAGCAAACAGGAU